rnacentral:rRNA from 1 species
GACGAACGCUGGCGGCGUGCCUAAUGCAUGCAAGUCGAACGCACUGCCUUCGGGCAGUGAGUGGCGCACGGCUGAGGAACACGUGGGAACCUGCCUCGAAGUGGGGGAUAACGAUUGGAAACGGUCGCUAAUACCGCACGGUUCUGCUCUGAUGGGAAUGGAGCAGAUAAAGAUUUAUCGCUUUGAGAGGGGCCCGCGGCCGAUUAGCUAGUUGGUAAGGUAAAGGCUUACCAAGGCGAUUAUCGGUAGCUGGUCUGAGAGGACGAUCAGCCACACGGGAACUGAGACACGGUCCCGACUCCUACGGGGGGCAGCAGUGAGGAAUAUUGGGCAAUGGGCGAAAGCCUGACCCAGCAACGCCGCGUGGAGGAUGAAGGCUUUAGGGUUGUAAACUCCUUUUGUGGGGGAAAAGAAUGGAUGGUACCCCAAGAAUAAGUCACGGCUAACUACGUG